rnacentral:lncRNA from 1 species
UGAGAGAAGAGGAAAAGUAAAAAUUUGGGGAUAUUUAAACUCAUUAAGUUUUAAAGACAGCUUUAAAAUGAGUUCAACUGUGCUUUUACUGAAGGAAGCUCCUUUUGGUCAAUACCGGUACAGUGAGAAAUUACUACUAAAUACGGCUCUGUGAUAGUUUAGUAGGUUUGUGGCAGGUUCACCUUUGCUGGCUGCUGGGUGAACACCCAGCUGCUCUGUUGCUCUCAUUCCUCAACAGCACAGGUGGCAAAAAUGAGAGGAAAAGCUCAUGGGCUGACAUAGAGACAUGCUUACCAAUUACUAUCAGGUGAAAUAGGCUCACAUUGGGGAAAAUUAAUUUAUUUCUAAUUAAAAUAGAUUUUGAUAGUGAGGAAAAAAAGACAAGAGAAAACAACACCAACCACCCUCAGCUCCUCUGCCCCCAUGCUUAUACCGAGGCCCAAUUUUGUGCCCUCACAGCUGGGCCAUUUUGGCUUUUUCUUGUGUUCAUUUUCCUUGAGGCCUGGAACCAGCCAGAACGUUCCGGAACCGGCCGGAACUGGCCUCUCCUCACUGACACCCCACAGCCCCCGCUGCAAAGUUGGUGCCACAGACAUCGUGCAUAGCUGACAGUCACUUGACAAGAUUAAUUAUUUGGGGUGUUUUAGUGGUGUUUGUGAGGCCCUGGCAUGCAGAUUAAUGGCAUGGUGCCAGGUGCCAUGCAGGGGAGCCUCACCUCAACACCUCACGGUGAGUGCGAGGAGUUAGUGGGCUCGGCUCACCUGGUGAUUUCUUCAGGAGUCACCUGCAGUCUGAGCAGUUGCUGCCUUGGGAUUUAUAGCCGUGAAGUGUCUCCUACCCAUUCUUAGAAAUGAAGUUAAAUGCUAGUGACACAUUGGAAUAUGGGAAUUUUGACAUUGGCUUCUGUGAGAGUUGGCGAAGAGAAGGAGGUGGGCAAAACUCAACCAGAAGGAUGCAUCUGUUCAGAAUCGAACAUGAUCAUGUCCUUGGGUACAAGCUGGGCUCUCAAAUUCAGACUCUUGACUUAGGCUGCCCGCUGAACUACUAAAGAACAGAUCAAUUGCCCAGAACUAAGGUGAGACACUAUUGUGUGGGUGGGGGCAUGUUUGCUUUCUGUGGAAUGUCAACAUCUAUUUGAAAGGAGCUGUCAUGUCUACUCUUUGUGUUUGUAGAACCCCAGAUACAUGUGACAGGAUGCACCUCCCAAAAUUAACAGGGUAAAUAAAUAUAUUGGUGGUGGCGUUAAAUGGCUUAAG